AUACAACUGGCAGAGGAGAUACUGUGAUCGUGAAGACAGUGUACCCAGGGUGAAUCUUACCUAGUGUACUCCAGGUGUGCUGACCGCUAUGAUGUCCCCAGAUAUGGGAGACUUCACUCCAUAAUUCACGGAUUGGGGGACAGCCAUGGUCACACUCUCCCGU
ensembl:snRNA U1 U1 spliceosomal RNA